UGAAUAUUUGAAGAACUAUUAUAAGAUUAGCCCUACAAUUGAUAAGCAAGCUAUAAAGUUUGCCAAGAAUGAUCAAGGUUUGCAAUGUAAGUAACAAUUUCUUAACAAACAAAAUUUGAUUUGUGAGGAAUUCAGGAAGUGUCGAUGGUUGGCAACCUCCAAUCCAUGGUUUCUGCAAGAUUAAUUGUGAUGUGGCCACCAAGAAGGGCUCUAAUCAGGCCUCGAUUGCAGCUAUUUUGCGGGUUCUAAGGGGGAGUUAUUGGAUAGUGCUAAAAAGAUUUUUGUCUCUUCCUCUCUUCAAGGUGAGACCUUAGCUUGCCGAUGGGCUUGUUUAUCAGUUCUUUCUAGCAGAUUACCUAAUGUGGAGAGUGAGGGAGAUAACCAAAUGGUCAUUCAUCUGAGAAUCUCUGAUACUGUUCCUCCAUGGGAAUGUGGGGCAAUUUUUAUGCUCUGUUUGUUUGGGAGAUUUAAUGAGGGAUUUGGAAAAUGAAAGAGAAUGUAUGUGAAAUUAGGUGAAAUAUAAGUAUAUUUUAUUCAUAUUAUACCUACUUUUUUCCUUUUCAUUUCCAAAUCCCCCAAACAAGCACAGCGUUAGUGGCAUCAAGCGAAUGGCAGAGCAAAGGAAUUUGUCUUUCCAUUGGUUUUCCAGGACUGCUAACAAGGUGGCUCACUGGGUGGCGAAAGCUUUCCUCCAGGAUCAGCUCCCUCUUGACUGGGUUUCUUGCCCCCAUCCUGCUCUUGCUUCUUUAAUUGAUACUUCUUAAUGUUUGUUUUACUGUUUUGUCUAAAUUUCUCUGUUUAAAAAAAUAAAAAAUGAGGCACACCUUAUCAACACAUGAUGUUUGCUUGAAUAUGAAUCUUACUGAUGCGAGUGUAGUUAA